GAGGAAUCGGGCGGCGUGAGUCUUCGCGCCACCCGGCACAGGCGCCCGCGUGUGCUCUGGCCGAGCCCGGGCGGCAGGGAGGUGCACUGUAUAUAUGCCCAGGAGUGGAUGUGAUCUCUCUUCUUCAGGCUGGGAAGAUCUUUGUACCUGCUAGACUGAGAGAACAGGGCAGAAGUGAUGCUGCCUGGCUUCUGGAGGAUGUCUUUUCCCUCCUGAGUCCAGGACAAGCCUUGGGAAUACCAGAAAGAGUCAGUUUGCUGUGGAGGGGUAGCCAUCUCCGGAAGAGAAAGCUGACUCAGGAAAUACAGCGUCUGGCUUUGACUUCAGCUUUAAGGAAGGCUUCCCCGCCUGGGCAGAGCUGUGGGUGCUGUUGCCCUGCUUUGCCUCAACUUGGUCAGGGAGGAAGCAGAGGCAGAAGCCCACCAAGGCUGGCGGAGAGGAAGACAAUGCUCUUGUGUCCCACUGCUGCUGGUUCACGUCCUUGGAGCGUUCCUUGGAGGGGAGUGGACAAGACACCUCCUGGCCAGCUGCUCACGGCCCCCGGGCUGAGACCACUGCUCUCAGAAGCACAAGGCCACUGUUGGAGCUAGAGGGAAUUCCCCGGGAGGAGGAGGGAGGUGAUCGGGCGCUCUGUGAUUUGAGUCUCACUCUGAAAGCAGCUCUGUUGAUUUUCCCAUCAUUCGGGUCUCUCCCCUUACAUGCUCUUCGCUGCAUUCACGUGAAACUACUCAGGGACCUGCGGGAGUUUUGUCUCUUUUCCUUGCCCUUGCCGUGCUCUCUCUCUAGGCUUCUCUCUUUCCCUUUAACCACCUGAAAAGAGAGCUUCAGAACUCAGCUGAAGGACCUGUACAUCUGAGAGAUCAUCUUUGGCGUUUAGGUCACUGGUACAUCUGACAGGGCUUCCCUGGUGGUGCAGAUGGUAAAGAACCUGCCUGCAAUGCAGGAGACCCGGGAUCGAUUCCUGGUUGGGAAAGAUCCUCUGGAGAAGGAAAGGGCAACCCACUCCAGUAUUCUUGCCUGGAGAAUCCCAUGGACAGAGGCGCCUGGUGGGCUGCAUUUCACGGGGUCGCAAUAGUUGGACACGACUGAGUGACCAACACGCACACACAUAUCUGACACUAUUCUGAUAUAGCAUUUGUCACACUAUAUGGUAGUGCAGGGACUUCCCUGGUGGCUCACUUGGCAAAGAAUCCGUCUGCAAUGUGGGAGACCUGGGUUCGAUCCCUGGGUUGGGAACAUCCCCUGGAGGAGGGCAUGGCAACCCACUCCAGUAUUCUUGCCUGGAGAAUCCCCAUGGACAGAGGAGCCUGGCGGGCUACAGUCCAUGAGGUCCCAAAGUGUUGGACACAGCCAAGUGACUAAGCACACAGCACAUACAGCAGUGUA
ensembl:lncRNA